rnacentral:rRNA from 1 species
AUUGAACGCUGGCGGCAGGCCUAACACAUGCAAGUCGAGCGGAGCGGCGGACGGGUGAGUAAUGCCUAGGAAUCAGCCUGGUAGUGGGGGAUAACGUCCGGAAACGGGCGCGAAUACCGCAUACUAUCAGAUGAGCCUAGGUCGGUUUGGCUAGUUGGGGGGGUAAAGGCCUACCAAGGCGACGAUCCGUAACUGUUAUGAGAGGAUGAUCAGUCACACUGGAACUGAGACACGGUCCAGACUCCUACGGGAGGCAGCAGUGGGGAAUAUUGGACAAUGGGCGAAAGCCUGAUCCAGCCAUGCCGCGUGUGUGAAGAAGGCCUUAGGGUUGUAAAGCACUUUAAGUUGGGAGGCGUUACCCACAGAAUAAGCACCGGCUAACUUCGUGCCAGCCGCCGCGGUAAUAC